rnacentral:rRNA from 1 species
UACGGAGGGUGCGAGCGUUGUCCGGAAUCACUGGGCGUAAAGGGCGCGUAGGUGGCGCGGGCAGUCAACGGUGAAAGUUCGGGGCUCAACCCUGAAUCGGCCGUCGAUACUCCCGGGCUUGAGCACUGUAGAGGCUAAUGGAAUUCCGGGUGUAGCGGUGGAAUGCGUAGAGAUCCGGAAGAACACCGGUGGCGAAGGCGGUUAGCUGGGCAGUUGCUGACACUGAGGCGCGACAGCGUGGGAGCAAACAGGG